rnacentral:tRNA from 1 species
CUGACUGGCUCAGUCAGUAGAGCAUGAGACUUUUGAUCUCCACAUUAUGAGUUCUAACCCCAUGUUGG